rnacentral:rRNA from 1 species
GACGAACGCUGGCGGCGUGCUUAACACAUGCAAGUCGAACGAUGAAGCCGGAGCUUGCUCUGGUGAAUUAGUGGCGAACGGGUGAGUAACACGUGAGUAACCUGCCCUUGACUCUGGGAUAACUGCUAGAAAUGGUAGCUAAUACCGGAUACGACCCUCGGAGGCAUCUCCAGGGGGUGGAAAGAAUUUCGGUCAAGGAUGGACUCGCGGCCUAUCAGCUAGUUGGUGAGGUAACGGCUCACCAAGGCGACGACGGGUAGCCGGCCUGAGAGGGUGACCGGCCACACUGGGACUGAGGCACGGCCCAGACUCCUACGGGAGGCAGCGGUGGGGAAUAUUGCACAAUGGGCGCAAGCCUGAUGCAGCAACGCCGCGUGAGGGAUGACGGCCUUCGGGUUGUAAACCUCUUUUAGUAGGGAAGAAGCGAAAGUGACGGUACCUGCAGAAAAAGCACCGGCUAACUACGUGCCAGCCGCCGCGGUAA